GAGUUUGAUCAUGGCUCAGAACGAACGCUGGCGGCAGGCUUAAUACAUGCAAGUCGAGCGGUCUCUUUCGGGAGACAGCGGCGAACGGGUUAGUAACGCGUGGGAACGUGCCCUUUAGUACGGAAUAGCCAUUGGAAACGAUGAUUAAUACCGUAUACGCCCUAUGGGGGAAAGAUUUAUCGCUAAAGGAUCGGCCCGCGUUAGAUUAGGUUGUUGGUGGGGUAAUGGCCUACCAAGCCUACGAUCUAUAGCUGGUUUGAGAGGAUGAUCAGCAACACUGGGACUGAGACACGGCCCAGACUUCUACGGAAGGCAGCAGUAGGGAAUCUUGGACAAUGGGCGAAAGCCUGAUCCAGCCAUGCCGCGUGAGUGAUGAAGGCCCUAGGGUUGUAAAACUCUUUCGCCAGGGAAGAUAAUGACGGUACCUGGUAAAGAAACCCCGGCUAACUCCGUGCCAGCAGCCGCGGUAAUACGGAGGGGGUUAGCGUUGUUCGGAAUUACUGGGCGUAAAGCGCACGUAGGCGGACUAGUCAGUCAGAGGUGAAAUCCCGAGGCUCAACCUCGGAACUGCCUUUGAUACUGCUAGUCUAGAGUUCGAGAGAGGUGAGUGGAAUUCCGAGUGUAGAGGUGAAAUUCGUAGAUAUUCGGAGGAACACCAGUGGCGAAGGCGGCUCACUGGAUCGAUACUGACGCUGAGGUGCGAAAGC
rnacentral:rRNA from 1 species